rnacentral:rRNA from 1 species
UACGUAGGGUGCGAGCGUUAAUCGGAAUUACUGGGCGUAAAGCGUGCGCAGGCGGCGCGUUAAGACAGGUGUGAAAGCCCCGAGCUUAACUUGGGAAUUGCGCUUGUGACUGGCGUGCUGGAGUGUGGCAGAGGGAGGUGGAAUUCCACGUGUAGCAGUGAAAUGCGUAGAGAUGUGGAGGAACACCGAUGGCAAAGGCAGCCUCCUGGGCCAGCACUGACGCUCAUGCACGAAAGCGUGGGGAGCAAACAGG